rnacentral:rRNA from 1 species
CCCUUAGAUGUUCUGGGCCGCACGCGCGCUACACUGAUGCAUUCAACAAGCCUAGCCUUGACCGAGAGGUCCGGGUAAUCUUUGAAACUGCAUCGUGAUGGGGCUAGAUUAUUGCAAUCAUUAAUCUUCAACGAGGAAUGCCUAGUAAGCGUGAUUCAUCAAAUCGCGUUGAUUACGUCCCUGCCCUUUGUACACACCGCCCGUCGCUCCUACCGAUUGAAUGUGUUGGUGAGGAGCUCGGAUUGGCAGCAGUUGGUGGUUCGCCACCGGCUAUUGCUGAGAAGUCCUCCAAACCGCCCCAUUUAGAGGAAGGAGAAGUCGUAACA